rnacentral:rRNA from 1 species
GAGUGGCGAACGGGUGAGUAAUGUAUCGGAACGUACCAUUCAGUGGGGGAUAACGUAGCGAAAGUUACGCUAAUACCGCAUAUUCUGUGAGCAGGAAAGCAGGGGAUCGCAAGACCUUGCCUGAUUGAGCGGCCGAUAUCAGAUUAGCUAGUUGGUGAGGUAAAGGCUCACCAAGGCGACGAUCUGUAGCGGGUCUGAGAGGAUGAUCCGCCACACUGGAACUGAGACACGGUCCAGACUCCUACGGGAGGCAGCAGUGGGGAAUUUUGGACAAUGGGGGCAACCCUGAUCCAGCCAUGCCGCGUGAGUGAAGAAGGCCUUCGGGUUGUAAAGCUCUUUCGGCCGGGAAAAAAUCGCAUAGGUUAAUACCCUGUGUGGAUGAUGGUACCGGAAUAAGAAGCACCGGCUAACUACGUGCCAGCAGCCGCGGUAAUACGUAGGGUGCGAGCGUUAAUCGGAGUUACUGGGCGUAAAGCGUGCGCAGGCGGUUUGAUAAGACAGGCGUGAAAUCCCCGGGCUCAACCUGGGAACUGCGUUUGUGACUGUCUCACUAGAGUACGGCAGAGGGGGGUGGAAUUCCACGUGUAGCAGUGAAAUGCGUAGAGAUGUGGAGGAACACCAAUGGCGAAGGCAGCCCCCUGGGUCGAUACUGACGCUCAUGCACGAAAGCGUGGGUAGCAAACAGGAUUAGAUACCCUGGUAGUCCACGCCCUAAACGAUGUCAACUAGGUGUUGGGAGGGUAAAACCUUUUAGUACCGUAGCUAACGCGAGAAGUUGACCGCCUGGGGAGUACGGCCGCAAGGUUAAAACUCAAAGGAAUUGACGGGGACCCGCACAAGCGGUGGAUGAUGUGGAUUAAUUCGAUGCAACGCGAAAAACCUUACCUACCCUUGACAUGUUCAGGAGUCCGAAGAGAUUUGGAUGUGCUCGAAAGAGAACUGGAACACAGGUGCUGCAUGGCUGUCGUCAGCUCGUGUCGUGAGAUGUUGGGUUAAGUCCCGCAACGAGCGCAACCCUUGUCGUUAAUUGCCAUCAUUUAGUUGGGCACUUUAACGAGACUGCCGGUGACAAACCCGAGGAAGGUGGGGAUGACGUCAAGUCCUCAUGGCCCUUAUGGGUAGGGCUUCACACGUCAUACAAUGGUCGGUACAAAGGGUUGCCAACCCGCGAGGGGGAGCUAAUCCCAUAAAGCCGAUCGUAGUCCGGAUCGCAGGCUGCAACUCGCCUGCGUGAAGUCGGAAUCGCUAGUAAUCGUGGAUCAGCAUGUCACGGUGAAUACGUUCCCGGGUCUUGUACACACCGCCCGUCACACCAUGGGAGCGGGUUCCGCCAGAAGUAGGUAGCCUAACCGCAAGGAGGGCGCUUACCACGGCGGGGUUCGUGACUGGGGUGAAGUCGAAACAAGGUA